GAUGAACGCUGGCGGCGUGCCUAAUACAUGCAAGUCGAGCGAACAGACGAGGAGCUUGCUCCUCUGACGUUAGCGGCGGACGGGUGAGUAACACGUGGAUAACCUACCUAUAAGACUGGGAUAACUUCGGGAAACCGGAGCUAAUACCGGAUAAUAUAUUGAACCGCAUGGUUCAAUAGUGAAAGACGGUUUUGCUGUCACUUAUAGAUGGAUCCGCGCCGCAUUAGCUAGUUGGUAAGGUAACGGCUUACCAAGGCAACGAUGCGUAGCCGACCUGAGAGGGUGAUCGGCCACACUGGAGCUGAGACACGGUCCAGACUCCUACGGGAGGCAGCAGUAGGGAAUCUUCCGCAAUGGGCGAAAGCCUGACGGAGCAACGCCGCGUGAGUGAUGAAGGUCUUCGGAUCGUAAAACUCUGUUAUUAGGGAAGAACAAAUGUGUAAGUAACUAUGCACGUCUUGACGGUACCUAAUCAGAAAGCCACGGCGAACUACGU
rnacentral:rRNA from 1 species